GGCUUAGAGUUUGAUCAUGGCUCAGGACGAACGCUGGCGGCGUGCCUAAUACAUGCAAGUCGAACGCUUUUUCUUUCACCGGAGCUUGCUCCAUCGAAAGAAAAAGAGUGGCGAACGGGUGAGUAACACGUGGGUAACCUGCCCAUCAGAAGGGGAUAACACUUGGAAACAGGUGCUAAUACCGUAUAACACUAUUUUCCGCAUGGAAGAAAGUUGAAAGGCGCUUUUGCGUCACUGAUGGAUGGACCCGCGGUGCAUUAGCUAGUUGGUGAGGUAACGGCUCACCAAGGCAACGAUGCAUAGCCGACCUGAGAGGGUGAUCGGCCACACUGGGACUGAGACACGGCCCAGACUCCUACGGGAGGCAGCAGUAGGGAAUCUUCGGCAAUGGACGAAAGUCUGACCGAGCAACGCCGCGUGAGUGAAGAAGGUUUUCGGAUCGUAAAACUCUGUUGUUAGAGAAGAACAAGGAUGAGAGUAAAAUGUUCAUCCCUUGACGGUAUCUAACCAGAAAGCCACGGCUAACUACGUGCC
rnacentral:rRNA from 1 species